rnacentral:piRNA from 1 species
GUUAUCAUGAGAGAGGUUGC